rnacentral:rRNA from 1 species
UACGUAGGGAGCAAGCGUUUGUCCGGAAUCAUUGGGCGUAAAGCGCGCGUAGGCGGCCUCGUAAGUCCGUUGUGAAAGUCAAAGGCUCAACCUUUGAAAGCCGAUGGAUACUGUGAGGCUAGAGUCCGGAAGAGGCGAGUGGAAUUCCUGGUGUAGCGGUGGAAUGGCGCAGAUAUCAGGAGGAACACCAAUAGCGAAGGCAGCUCGCUGGGACGGUACUGACGCUAAGGCGCGAAAGCGUGGGGAGCGAACAGG